CCAGACUCCUACGGGAGGCAGCAGUGGGGAAUAUUGGACAAUGGACCAAGAGUCUGAUCCAGCAAUUCUGUGUGCACGAUGACGUUUUUCGGAAUGUAAAGUGCUUUCAGUUGGGAAGAAAAAAAUGACGGUACCAACAGAAGAAGUGACGGCUAAAUACGUGCCAGCAGCCGCGGUAAUACGUAUGUCACAAGCGUUAUCCGGAUUUAUUGGGCGUAAAGCGCGUCUAGGUGGUUAUGUAAGUCUGAUGUGAAAAUGCAGGGCUCAACUCUGUAUUGCGUUGGAAACUGUAUAACUAGAGUACUGGAGAGGUAAGCGGAACUACAAGUGUAGAGGUGAAAUUCGUAGAUAUUUGUAGGAAUGCCGAUGGGGAAGCCAGCUUACUGGACAGAUACUGACGCUGAAGCGCGAAAGCGUGGGUAGCAAACAGGAUUAGAUACCCUGGUAGUCCACGCCGUAAACGAUGAUUACUAGGUGUUGGGGGUCGAACCUCAGCGCCCAAGCAAACGCGAUAAGUAAUCCGCCUGGGGAGUACGUACGCAAGUAUGAAACUCAAAGGAAUUGACGGGGGCCCGCACAAG
rnacentral:rRNA from 1 species